UACGUAGGGUGCGAGCGUUAAUCGGAAUUACUGGGCGUAAAGCGUGCGCAGGCGGUUCGUUGUGUCGGUGGUGAAAGCCCCGGGCUUAACCUGGGAAUGGCCAUGGAAACUGGCGAACUGGAGUGUGGCAGAGGGGGGUGGAAUUCCGCGUGUAGCAGUGAAAUGCGUAGAGAUGCGGAGGAACACCGAUGGCGAAGGCAGCCCCCUGGGCUAGCACUGACACUCAGGCACGAAAGCGUGGGGAGCAAACAGG
rnacentral:rRNA from 1 species